rnacentral:rRNA from 1 species
AUACGUAGGGAGCAAGCGUUGUCCGGAUUUACUGGGUGUAAAGGGUGCGUAGGCGGCUUUGCAAGUCAGAUGUGAAAUCUAUGGGCUCAACCCAUAAACUGCAUUUGAAACUGUAGAGCUUGAGUGAAGUAGAGGCAGGCGGAAUUCCCCGUGUAGCGGUGAAAUGCGUAGAGAUGGGGAGGAACACCAGUGGCGAAGGCGGCCUGCUGGGCUUUAACUGACGCUGAGGCACGAAAGCGUGGGUAGC